UCAAAAUCUUAUCAUCAAUCCUCUGCCAUUUCAAUUAGACAAAAGCCAAGUUUUAAAAGCUAAGUUUCCUUCUAUUAGUUCAUCCGCUCUUUCCUUCUCUUUUCAACACACCCAACAAAGUUUAAAGUGCAGAGGUAAGUGUUCCAACCAAUUCUCUUCUUCUUCCUUGGGGAUACAACCCUCCAUUUUAACUAUGUUUAUGUUUCCAAAUUCCAGUAAUCAAGCAGAUUCAGAUCCAAAUUCAUUGUUAAAUUGUUGAUUCGCAGAUCAAACUUUGUGAGUUCAGAAAAUUAUCAAGGUUACCUCCUACUUUACUUUCUCCAUACAUUCAUUUGUUAAAUUACAAAACUAUGAUUCAAAUGAAAACAGAUCGAACACACGCAUCCAUUACCACUUCUUUUAGACUAUUAUUGUUUCAAUUACAUCAGCUUAUCACCAUCAGAGAACCACCAACAGAAUAAUACACACGCACACAUUUUACUAUAUUCUCUAAUCUAUUACAUGUACAAUCAGUCUUAAUAAAAAGGAAAUGAAUGAUUGAAAGAACAGAUUAAUAAAACCCUAAUUUUGCUUUUGUGCAUCUGGACUGAAAAAUUUGGGGGUUCUUGUGUCUUUGCCUUCUGUGUAUGUCCGAAAAUGGGGAAAGAGGUGAGAGCAGCCGGGGGCUGCUCACGGUCGGCGACGGCGGCGGCGGCACAGCCGCUAGCCCUUGUCCUGCCAAAACGAGAGAGAAGAGGGUAGAGAGAGAGAUGGUUAGGGCUUCUGUAAAAAUAAAAAAAAAAGAGAGAGAGAUACGGGAAAAAGGGGGAGAGACUUAUCUUUUCCGGCGACGCGGCGGAAGCAGCGGCGCAGCGACACGAACGGCGGUUCUGUUCGGCCGGAAAAGAGGAGAAAAGGGAGGAGUUCAGAUCUGUUUUUUUAAAAUAGAAAGGAGAGGAAAGGGAGCUCAGAUCUGGAGCCUACCUUCACGGCGAGGCAAGGCUCGGCCAUCCACCACGAUUCCGGCCAUGGCGGAGACGGCGGAGAACGGGGGAAGCGGCGCGGCGACGCUCGGCUUUUCACAACGGCCGGAGAAGGCACAUGCAGCGGCGGAGAGGCCUCUGCCACCCUGUUCCAAGGCUGGGGACGACCAGGCGGCGCCGUGCUUGGCCACGGCGGAGGCGGCAGUGGCACGCGAAGGCGGCGGCGUGCGGCUGACUUCCGGCGAGACAGAGCGAUGAGAGUGAGAGGGAGAGGGGAGACGUCCGGCGAGGCGGCGCGCCGGAGGCGGUGCCGCCCUCAGCCGAGUGAGAGUAAGAGAGGCGAGAGAGAGAGCCGAGAGGGAGAGUGAGAGUGUUGUGUGUGCUGAGUGUGUGUAUUUGUGUGAUGUGCGUGUGUUAUGUGUUUGUGUGUGUGAUAUAUGUGUGUUAUGUUAGGGUUAGGAUUUAAUUGGGCUUUUUUUAUUAAUUUUGUUUGGGCCGAUUUAUUUAUUUAGCUUGGGCCGAAAGUUUUAAAUAAAAUGGGCCCAUUUUAAUUAAGUUUUGAACUGUUAAUUGAUUAAUAAAGCCUACGAAUUUUUGGCCUUAUUUUUUUUUUAAAAAAAAAAUGUUUGAAUUUACACUAAAUUAUUUAGUGAAUUUAAAUCUCUUGAUUUAAAUUUUAAUAUUUAAAGUUGGGAUUAUUUAUUCUAAAUGAAGUCCAUUCUAUUAUUUAAAUUAUUAAUGGACUUUAAAGCAAAUAUUUUGGGAUUAAGCCCUAUUUAUUACAUGAUAAAAUUAUUUUCAAAGCUUACGAGUAUGGAUUUUUUUUAAAUGGUUAAAAUGUUUUAUUUCAUCUCAAUGUAUUUUAAAAUGUUUUAUUAUUUAUAAAUGAAUAAUGGAAUUUCUUAUUUAUUUACAUGAUAAAAAAAAAUGUGAAAUUGUGUUAUAGAAUGAUUAAGUAUAUGAUUUACUUUAUCAAAUGAGCUUGAGAUUUAAUUGAGAUAUUAAAUUACUAAGCAUAUGUUUAUAAAUGAUUUAUUUAUUUAAGUGAUGAAAAUGUGCGAAGUAUGAGAAAGCAUGAUUUAUAAUGAUUAAAUUUUCAGGGUAAUAAAAUAUAGCUUGUUCUUAAUUGAUGGAGUACUUGACUAAAUGACGGGUGUAGAAGGAAGUUAUGGAUUAUGUACAUGUUGAUGUUCGAACAAUUGGGUUCGAACCUAUAUGAUAGUUACAUGAUAAGUGAUUACAUUUAUUGAUUGAAUGAAACGAGAUAAUAUGAUGCUAGACCCAAACUUUAAAAGAUACCCUAGGCACGUAGAAUAGACUUUGUCUUAUGACAAUUUCUUCACGAACUUAUCGACUCUUCAUCAAUGAAGGUCCGGGCGACAGAAAGUGAAGCAGAAGAAGAAACGACUCCACGCCAGCUUUAAGAACAAUUGAGGUGGGCAUUAUUUUAUUAUUACGUAUAUAGAGAUCCCCUGCGUGACGUAGGCCUCAUAUGCGAAUAUAUAUGCAUGAUAUGUUUUGACUAUUUAUUCAGUUCUUAUAAAAUGCUUAUAUGUUCAAUGCCCUUUAUGAAAAUGAAAAUGUUAUGAAAAUGAAAUGUUUAUGAAAUGAUUGACUGCCAAAAUGUUUAUGUUUUUUUAUAUGUAUCCUAUCUGUGUUGGUUCGCCAACUUUAAAGGAAAUCCAAUUGGGAUCCUAUGCUAGACAAAGGUCGCUAGCUAGGGUUAACGUGUACACUCAUGGAGACCGCGAGUCGCUUGCGACCGGUCUUGGCGUCCGUGGUAAGGAGGCCUCCUUCCCGGCGCGUGACAGAAAGGACAGAUAUGGAUCAUAUAGACUGAAAAUGGGAUGCAUCCACCUUUAUGAAAAUGAAAGAAAUAUUUUAGUAAGCGCAGGACAUUCAAGAAAACCCCUGUGUGUUACUGUUAUGGCAGUUCAAUUUAUAUAUGUAUGCAUGUUGUAUUUUCGGCUUAUGCCACUGAGUAUUUUUAUACUCAGCCCUGCAUGUAUUUCUAAAUGUGCAGGUUGAGCAGGCGAUGGAAUGGAUUGGUGUUGAGCGGA
rnacentral:lncRNA from 1 species